rnacentral:rRNA from 1 species
UACGGAGGGAGCUAGCGUUGUUCGGAAUUACUGGGCGUAAAGCGUACGUAGGCGGUUACUCAAGUCAGAGGUGAAAGCCCGGGGCUCAACCCCGGAACUGCCUUUGAAACUAGGUAGCUAGAAUCUUGGAGAGGUCAGUGGAAUUCCGAGUGUAGAGGUGAAAUUCGUAGAUAUUCGGAAGAACACCAGUGGCGAAGGCGGUUAGCUGGGCAGUUGCUGACACUGAUGCGCGACAGCGUGGGGAGCAAACAGG